rnacentral:rRNA from 1 species
GACGAACGCUGGCGGCGUGCUUAACACAUGCAAGUCGAGCGGUAAGGCUCCUUCGGGAGUACACGAGCGGCGAACGGGUGAGUAACACGUGAGCAAUCUGCCCUUCUCAUCGGAAUAAGCGCGGGAAACCGCGUCUAAUGCCGAAUACGACCUCCUUUCGCAUGAUCGGAGGUGGAAAGCUCCGGCGGAGAAGGAUGAGCUCGCGGCCUAUCAGCUAGUUGGUGAGGUAACGGCCCACCAAGGCGACGACGGGUAGCCGGCCUGAGAGGGUAACCGGCCACACUGGGACUGAGACACGGCCCAGACUCCUACGGGAGGCAGCAGUGGGGAAUAUUGGACAAUGGGCGAAAGCCUGAUCCAGCAACGCCGCGUGAGGGAUGACGGCCUUCGGGUUGUAAACCUCUCUCAGCAGGGACGAAGCGAAAGUGACGGUACCUGCAGAAGAAGGACCGGCCAACUACGUGCCAGCAGCCGCCCGUAACAC